CCUAGAUCAAUUCUCCAUCCGCAACCUCUGUCACGCACUCACCUUUCCUUCACUCCGAUACACAAAAUCAGAUAUCUAAUUAUUCAGUGGCUGACAAAAGGGGUCGAUCAUCUCAAGAGCUCAAAUCGAGAUUCAAUUCCCUGAGGAUGAGAGGUUGCAAUGAGGAGGUGUGCUGCUGUUUUUGUCUCGAUUUCAAGUAUUGUUCUCAGCUCAGAGGGAAAGCAGAGUCAGAGGUCAGCUCCAUUGCUGAAAACAGAUUGAUAAGUUUCUUAUGUGGUAGUUCUUGAAGCUCUUAAUGAGUUAAGAAGUCGAGUCUUGAAUGUGAUCUUGGAUGCAUUGAAAAACGAUAGUUUAAACUUAGAUGAAAUGGGAGGUGUAGGAAAAAUAAUGCAAGUUAAAGAAGUUGCCAUAUAAGUUAAACAUAGCCGGAGAAGGUAAUUUUAAAUAAAUUGUAAAGUGAUAUUUUAAAACGAAAUAUUGACAUUGGUGAGCAACCUCAAAGCCACUUGUUUGUUGAUUGAUAGUUAGCGAAAUUAUCUUAAAAUGCAUGAUGUGAUCCGUGAUGUUUUUAUAUCAAUCAUUUUAAGGUAUCACUACAUGUGUUUGUUGGAGAGUAGUAAUAUACCAUUGAUGAGUUGGAUUGAUAGCUUAUGUAUUUAUUUAAAGUCUAGUUACCAGCUCAGUAAGAAUGUACAAGCUCCAUCGAUAAUGUUUAUGAGAUGAUGAUGAGAUCCUGGAUAUGAAGAGGAUGGGAGGUGUGGGAAAAAUUGAUAUUUGUCAAAGUUGUUAAGUUUAUUUUUUUAUAAGUGAAAUAUUGAUCAGUGGGUCAUAAUGUUGUUAUUGA